AUGAGCCACGGCCAUCAUCAUCACCACCACGACGGCCACGGUCAUCAUCACGGCCACCACCACCAUCAUGGCCACCGCCACCAACACCAGGCGCUGCCGGGGUUCCCGGUCCCGUUCUCUCAAGUGCCGGCGACGGUGGGGGCGCCGUUCCUCGAGCCCAGGCCGGACAGCCGAGAUAGCUCCGACAACCCCGUGGUCUCUCUCUCCGCGCUCGUGGGCUGCUGGUUCAUCCUGAUCAUCAUCGUCGUGUUCAUACUAUACUCAUUCUUUUAUGACAGCAUGGGCAUGCAUGCCAUGCACUUUAUAUAUUUGGAUAUCCUCCUCAUGUGGGCUGUGAGAAGAUGA
rnacentral:rRNA from 1 species